rnacentral:rRNA from 1 species
UACGUAGGCAGCGAGCGUUGUUCGGAGUUACUGGGCGUAAAGAGUGCGUAGGCGGUUCUCUAAGUUUGGCGUGAAAUCUCCCGGCUUAACUGGGAGGGUGCGCCGAAAACUGGAAGGCUUGAGUAUGGGAGAGGUAAGCGGAACUCCUGGUGUAGCGGUGAAAUGCGUAGAUAUCAGGAGGAACACCUGCGGUGUAGACGGCUUACUGGACCAUAACUGACGCUGAGGCACGAAAGCGUGGGUAGCAAACAGG